rnacentral:lncRNA from 15 species
AGCUUCCUGCAUGACUUCCCAUCAGCCCCUUCGCCGCCCAACACGCAGACGACACACUGUGGUUGUUGUCCAGUGCAGAGAAACGCUGCGAGACGUCACCUCCAAGACUCUGGAGGCCCACAACAGCAGCUUGGUGUCGACAGUCCAGCAGGGGGCGCCUCGUCUCGGAUACCUGGGAACCACAGCGAGCUCGAGGGCCAAACUGAGCCAGGAAUCACCCACCUCCACCCAGGAGGAGGAGGAGAAGGAGAACCUCUCCUCUUCCUCCUCCUCCUCUUCCUCAGAGCUUCAGCUUCCUGCUGGUCUGGAACUCCACAGCACCAAAACUGACCCCCAUCAGGACCAAACCAGCAGCUUUUCUCCGUUGUCCCAGAAGGCUUUGGACCACCUACCUGUGGCGAGCCCGCAAGUGUUGACCACGCCCACUGAGGUGAUGUCGCUUGGUGAGGGCGGGAGGUGGAGCGUCAGCAGCGUCGAGGAGACGAAUCAAACCCUCGUCCAGAGCCCCGCCCUCUCCAUCACCCCCAUAUGCACGCCCCCUGUCUGUGACAUCAUCAGCUGCUCCGCCUCCAGGCGCGAGGAGUCUUCNNNNNNNNNNNNNNNNNNNNUUUUUCUAAGCGUUUCUUCUUG